UGGGAAAGCAUUGGUUCGGGAAGAGAUGGGCAGACAUGCAAAUAAAAUAGCUUUCCGAGUCGGCCCGGGACGGGUUCUAGGAGUGUGAAUUGGGGUGUGUGUGAGUUGUGGGGGGCCGGGGGGGGCGGGAAUGAGCAGAAGCCAAGUGUUUGCCUGCGCAGGCUGAGUUGAUACAGGCUGUUGCUGGAAACCAUCCGCUGGGAAUGUUUCUCAGGGAAAUCCCGUCGUGUGGAAGGAAGCCUUUUAAAGGCAAAGUAAGAUGUUGAGGAAUCAGCCUGUUCCUAGAAUAACGAGAGGGUGGAUGUACAAAUCAUCUAGAAAAUAAGUCAGGAUUUCAGAGGUCCUUCCCCCUCCCCCUUUUUUGGCGGGGCGUGGGGGGGGGGCGGGUAACAAUUGUUUGGUUUGGCUCCAUUAAGAAAAGGAAGGUAACUGUGCCGGUGCUUAAAUGUAAUGAUUUGCAUUUUGGGUGCAAAUCAUUACAUUUCCUGCAUUUAGCUGGCAGGAAAUGUCUACACGGAGUGGGUGAGAUCCUAAAGUCAAAGCUAUAAACACACGUUUUGACGCUUCCUUGAGAUGAAAAAAAAAAAAAAAAAAAGUGGCCCAGAAACUUAGAUGGCUCCUGAAAUGAUUGUGCGCCUGUAAACAGACGAUAUUUAGGAGCACCUGGAAUUUUAUGUAACAUCUCCUUUGCCAAGCUGUGAGCUCUGGUGUGCAGCCUUUUUAUAAAAAGGGGAAGUGGUUUUUCGGCUUCAUGGGAGGAGACUUUAUUUGACACCCAAGGUAGAAGGCAGCCCGAGUCAGGUCUGGACUUCAGAAGGGCACUCGGGGAGCAGCCCGCGAAAAUGCCAUACCUGCUUCCCAGCAUUUUCUCUCGCCCGCUUUGGGGAACGAAGGGAGGGUUUUUGGCCAGCGGUGAACCGGUUUGUGUUGAUCCAGCCGGGUCCAUCACCUUGUGGCUCUGUACACGCCGUGCGGCCGGGGCGGUGCACAGCCCAGCCAUUCAGCCCCGCGUUCACGUCGUAAUUCCGUCCUCACUGGUCGCUCUAAAGCCGUCAGCCGCCUGGAAGGUUUGCUUUGAAAACCCCAGCAGAGUUUAAAAUAUUCAGGUCUAUCAAUUACCCACCCUCCCUCCCUCUCCCCCCAGUUGCUCAGCUUUGGUGUGAGAACAGAUUUGUGGGAAAGGCAACUUCAGGUUCUGAGGCCUGAUUUUUCUUUUUUUUCUUUUUGCCUAAUCCAAAAUUGUAGCGAGCUGGAUCAAGGUGCGGGCUGAUGGGCUCUCUCCCGACGGGAAAGUGCGUCCUGGAGGGGAGGAAGCUGAGAAAACAGCAGGCCCCCCCGCCCCCCCUUUACAGACGCCACCUAGUGGUGGGAUUGGGUUGUACAUCGCAGGGCUCGGGGGCUGGGAAAGUUUUUUUCUCUCUAUUCUGAAAUUAUUUCUUGGGAAAUCACUGGAGAGGACGUGCUGGAGGCUUUGCAGGGUUCGCUGGUUUCUCCUGUUGUCCGGCGAACCCUGCUCCCCAGGUUUGCUGCUCCACACGUGCCUUUGCGUGGGGCGUGUUUUUUCCUUUCCUUCGCAUUACGUUGCUUCUGUUAAAAUGUUUUGCUUGGGGUGAACAAAGUGUUACAAAUUUUCUCCCCUAAAGUGAUCUCCUCAGUGUUUUUUUUUUUCCCCAUCGAAAUGCAUUCUGAUAUUUUGGUUCAGCUGGUUAAGAAAUUGUUUUUCCCCCCAUAAACUUAGGGAAGAGCACUGCAGGCUGUAGGUUUAUAUGGAAGGACGGAAUUGCAGGGAUUAAAAGCUCUCAAAGUGCCUUACACUUCCUUGUCCUUUUAGAGUCUUUUCGAUUUCUCUUUGAGAGUUUGGUAGGCAUCUCAUGGUGAGAAAACAGCUCUUGACGAUGCCUUUGAAAUGGAAAGGGCCUUGCCUGGAAGGAAAUGGAGAGACUGACACAUGAAUGAGAAAAAUUAAUCACUUACAUGGAAACUUCAUUUUAAAAUUUGCUUUUCUCCUCCUCUUUCUUUUGUCUAAACAGAACGCAUGAUUUUAAGUAUUCCCAUUUUCUUUUUGCUGGGGCUUUAUUAAAAAUUUGGGCACAUAUAUUCUAAUUAGCGUGGAAGUGUAGAGAAAUAAAAGCGAUUUAUUUUUCUCUUCUCGGCUCUCAUAUAUUUGAAGUCAUUCUUUUAAAUGAAGUAAUUCUGCAAAUAAUUAUAUUAUCCAAAUAUUCAGAAAUGAAAGUUCUAGUCAGCUUAGUGAAAUAUCUAACAUAAAAUCUAUAGUAUCUUUAAAAAUCUGAGUUGUUUGGAAUGUUUAAAAAACACUUCUUACUUGAAGAUCCCUGUGAAUGGUUACAGAUGGAGAAAUAUAAUUGGUGAAUGUGAAAUUUAAUUUAGCUGACUUAACAAAAUAUAUUGUAAACAACCUGAAAUGUGGCUUUCAAGUAAAAGUCAUAUAUGUCCCAAACAAUAGAGAAACAGGCCUUUGAAGAAAGACAGAAACACUUUGCAAAUGCUAUAAAGGAAUUUGUAGCUGUCCGUGUUGAUGGAUAACUUUGGGGCUUAUCUUUUGUUAUUAUUAUACAUUCUCAAAGGCAGAUUACUUCUAAAUUCAUUGUAAAUUUAGAUUCUUACCAUAAUAAAGCACAUAUAAAGUGAAAAACAUGAGUAUAGCAAUAAAAUAGAAAGCCUAUACAUAUAUCAGAAUAAAGAUGAUUCCUUGUUAGUAAUUAGAAAACAUAGCAUGCAAAUGACACCUCUGUGACAGUUGUUUUUGAAAUAAGAUGGAGAUCUGGGUUCAAAAUUUUAAACCUCCCAAAGGUAUUUUGUGGGCUGUUUAUUUGUCUUGUUCUUGUGAGAAAAUAUCAACUUGGUCACACUUCGGAACUUUAGGUUACUCUCCCAAAAAGUGCUUAAGGGGGGGAAAGAAAGAAAGAAACUGAGACAGUUCAUGCCUGUUUAUGGAGAUGAGCUAAGUGAUUAAGUUCAGACUAACUUUACCUAUUUCUGUACAUUUCAGAAUCUCGGAAAGUUGGCAAGCAAGCUGGUGUUGAAGUAUCAGUAGCGAGAGCGUUUGCAGAGUGUCUUUCUUUGUUAUCACAGGGGAGGCCAGCAGUAGUCCUAUCUGAUCAAUCAAGAUGACGGAGGGAGGACUGAUACAGGUUCCUGAGCGUGCUUCUAGCAGGCACCCAGGACAGGAACUGAGACGUCAGAGAUGUAAUGACUUUGCCAUUGAUUACAGUUGCUGAAAACCAGAAUAUGCAACGACCAUUUCCUCUGAUAGCUUGUUGGCUUGGCUAUUGAUGGUGAUCAAGAUUGGGGACCUGGUAGUAGGUGCAAUUGGGGGCUAGCAAGAGGCCAGGGAGGGCAGGAGGAGAGGGAACCCGCAUCCAGCAGAGAGGGGCCGGCUCUGCCUGCACAGACAGCACCCCACAGCAGGGCGGGAAGCCUGGCCCCCUUCCCUGUCCCUUGCGCCCCAAGUGCAUACGAUGAACACAGAAGAGCAACAGCUGUCAUCCCGGGGCAGGCAGCUCUGGGUGCGGAGGCUGUUAAAUGAAACUGCCUUUUAUUUUCUCGAAGUUUCUUUUCAGUACUGACAAGUUGGAGGUAGAGAAACCAAAAGCAGUGUUUUCAGAAGGCCUUGCUCUCUCACAGAAAGAUUUCAAGUGAUGAUUUUAAUGAGUCCAGCUGCCUGUUUUAACAGUCAUCAGAUAAAUGCUCACAAGACUCAUCUUUCAAGAGCUUAGCUGCUGCUUGUCAGAUUCUAAACUCCAAAAAGCUUGAUUCUUGCAGGGCCUAAACUAAUCCUUGCUGAAAUUAUGUCUUCAGAAACUUUCACUCUUGUAGUGGCUUGCUAAAUGAUACCUUUUGGGUCUGGACUGAAGAAUUCCAUAAUGUCCAAGUGAAUUUCAGGACAGAGCUCAAUAUGCGAACAAAUUCACCUUUCUCAAGGGCUGUUCAACCCUUACUUGGGACUUCCAGUGUUUGUAGGAAACCACCCAGGACUGCAGACAGUAUUUAAAGUUAAUAUUUGUUGCCAAUAUAUUUGUGGCUCAAAGUAAAGUAUUAUAACAUGUAAACAUUUUUUAAAUAAGAAAGCCUUAUGGUUAGCUCAGCCGGUGUGGCUCAGUGGUUGAGCAUUGACCUAUGAACCAGGUGGUCCUGGUUGGAUUCCCGGUCAGGGCACAUGCCUGGGUUGCAGGCUCGAUCCCCAGUGUGGGGCGUGCAGGAGGCAGCCAAUCAAUGAUUCUCUGUCAUCAUUGAUAUUUCUAUCUCUCUCUCCCUCUCCCUUCCUCUCUGAAAUCAAUAAAAAAUAUAUAUAUGUAAAAUUUAAAAUGGAGUGUUUCCUCCAGUGUUUAGAUAGUACUAAAUGGAACAAUAUUGUUUUCACCCCCCAAAAGAUAAAAACUAUAAGAAGUUUGAUUUAUUGAUUAAAAUAUUUUCAAUACUUAUGAUGUUUUUAAAUAAAACAUUUCACUGAAAUAUAACAGGAUGUGUUUUAAAGUAGAAACCACUCCUAUCAUGUAAGCCCACAUAAUCCAUUUUAAUCACUUAAAGUCACAUCUUAAAACCCUUGUCUUCACUAUUUUAUUUUGAUGUGAGGUAUGUGUGUGUUGGGGGCUGGGGGGCGGGAAAGGGAGCCUCGGGUCAGGAAGACUGAAGAAAUUCCUUUUCCAUGUGUCACCUGUUUGUAAUUGCUUUCUAUUGUUUCCUGCAGUUACAUGAGCUACUGUCUUGAUAUCUUUUUGUAAUCACAAAACUUAAUUUUUUUAAA